ACACCAGCAUCUUUGAUGCCCUCUCCCCAAGAAUAACAAGGGGUCCCAGGCUCACAAGAUGCAACUGUCUCAAAAGAUCUCAUGCCCAAUCUCUGUAACCUUCUUACAGAUGGGUGCUGUCAUAGCAAGGGGCUCAAUGAAAAUGUGCUCCGUCUCACCAGGAGUCCUGACCUGUCUUCAAGAAAUGAACACUGCUUAAGAUCAAACUGGGACCUCCCCAUGCACAAACAUACAAAUAAACUUUUCCAGCUCCUUUGCUUCCCA